rnacentral:rRNA from 1 species
CCUACGGGAGGCAGCAGUGAGGAAUAUUGGUCAAUGGACGAGAGUCUGAACCAGCCAAGUAGCGUGAAGGAUGACUGCCCUAUGGGUUGUAAACUUCUUUUAUAAAGGAAUAAAACGAGGCACGUGUGCCUUUUUGCAUGUACUUUAUGAAUAAGGAUCGGCUAACUCCGUGCCAGCAGCCGCGGUAAUACGGAGGAUCCGAGCGUUAUCCGGAUUUAUUGGGUUUAAAGGGAGCGUAGAUGGGUUGUUAAGUCAGUUGUGAAAUUUUGCGGCUCAACCGUAAAAUUGCAAUUGAUACUGGCAGUCUUGAGUACAGUUGAGGUAGGCGGAAUUCGUGGUGUAGCGGUGAAAUGCUUAGAUAUCACGAAGAACCCCGAUUGCGAAGGCAGCUUACUAAACUGUGACUGACAUUGAUGCUCGAAAGUGUGGGUAUCAAACAGGAUUAGAUACCCCUGUAGUC